GCGCCCUUAGCUCAGCUGGAUAGAGCAACAGCCUUCUAAGCUGUGGGUCAGAGGUUCGACUCCUCUAGGGCGUA
rnacentral:tRNA from 1 species